GCUGGCAAUUGAGGAUCAGAUAUCCUACACUCUCAAUGGACAAUUCCAUGUGUGGACUAAUAAUCUCCGCUUAUUAUCUGAUGCCUUG
rfam:Triticum aestivum genome assembly, contig: Triticum_aestivum_CS42_TGACv1_scaffold_113858_2AS